rnacentral:rRNA from 1 species
AGCAUUCUCUGGUGUUGAAGGCCCUGCAAAGCAGCAUCGCGGUGGCGGAGCGUCGUUUGCGACGCCCAACACACAAAACAAGCGGUGAGUGCUUUGGGGUGGGGUGACUGCGUACCUUUUGUAUAAUGGGUCAGCGACUUAUAUUCUGUAGCAAGGUUAACCGAAUAGGGGAGCCGGAGGGAAACCGAGUCUUAAUUGGGCGUUAAGUUGCAGGGUAUAGACCCGAAACCCGGUGAUCUAGCCAUGGGCAGGUUGAAGGUUGGGUAACACUAACUGGAGGACCGAACCGACUAAUGUUGAAAAAUUAGCGGAUGACCUGUGGCUGGGGGUGAAAGGCCAAUCAAACCGGGAGAUAGCUGGUUCUCCCCGAAAGCUAUUUAGGUAGCGCCUCGUGAAUUCAUCUCCGGGGGUAGAGCACUGUUUCGGCUAGGGGGCCAUCCCGGCUUACCAACCCGAUGCAAACUGCGAAUACCGGAGAAUGUUAUCACGGGAGACACACGGCGGGUGCUAACGUCCGUCGUGAAGAGGGAAACAACCCAGACCGCCAGCUAAGGUCCCAAAGUCAUGGUUAAGUGGGAAACGAUGUGGGAAGGCCCAGACAGCCAGGAUGUUGGCUUAGAAGCAGCCAUCAUUUAAAGAAAGCGUAAUAGCUCACUGGUCGAGUCGGCCUGCGCGGAAGAUGUAACGGGGCUAAACCAUGCACCGAAGCUGCGGCAGCGACACUGUGUGUUGUUGGGUAGGGGAGCGUUCUGUAAGCCUGCGAAGGUGUCCCGUGAGGGAUGCUGGAGGUAUCAGAAGUGCGAAUGCUGACAUAAGUA